UGCCAGCCGCCGCGGUAAUACGGAGGGUGCAAGCGUUGUCCGGAUUUAUUGGGUUUAAAGGGUGCGUAGGCGGACUCAUAAGUCAGUGGUGAAAUACUUCGGCUCAACCGGAGAGGUGCCAUUGAUACUGUGGGUCUUGAGUGAACUCGAAGUAGGCGGAAUUGAUGGUGUAGCGGUGAAAUGCAUAGAUAUCAUCAAGAACACCGAUAGCGAAGGCAGCUUACUUGGUUUCAACUGACGCUGAUGCACGAAAGCGUGGGGAGCGAACAGGAUUAGAUA
rnacentral:rRNA from 1 species